UGUCUUAUUUAAUAAAAGUAAUAAAUGGUAUGAAAUAAUAAAAUAUCGAACAUAGAAAACUUACUUUCCAAACAACUCGCCAUCCCGAAUCGAUUCAGGAAGUUUCUUAUUCAACGUCUCCGGGAGAAGAAGGGACAAUGAUCCACCGAAUAAAGCGCACGAUCCGAAAAUAACGAGCGGCAACGGCGUCCAUAUUUCCGACUGGAAGCAUGAAUUGUUUCAUCAGAAUUUUAUAUAAUUUAUAAUAAUAAUUACUAAUCAGCAAUAUGUCAACAUACUUCAACUUCAUCUUUUUACGCUUUUUUCAGAUAUCAAGAAAAGCGAUGAAAAGUAAGAACGUACCAAGUGAUUGACAUAUGGCGCGAUAACUCCGCCAAUUCGAGCAAAAGUGGAACUCGCACCCAGUCCGACGUUUCGAAUAACAGUCGGAAAUUGUUCUGCAGUAAACACAUAAAUUGCACCGUAGGACGAUGUGAUAGCAAGUUUUCCUAUCAUCGCCAAGCAAACGAUUAGCCACGACAUAUCUAAAAUAAAACAUAAACUCGUUUAUAAUUAUAGGCUAAACAUUUAUAACUUUGUCGUUUUAAAUGUUCGUAUGACUAAAACGAUUGUUAUAUGAAAUUUUGCGAUGUCAUUAUCUUAAAUAAAAUAUUGUAUAUUAUUCACCGGGAGGGACAAAUAACGUAGCAAGUAAUGCUAAUCCGGACAACAUCAUACAGCCGCAAAGGAUGAUUUUUCUGCCCCAUCGAUUCAGGGUGAAGAUGAGGAAUGUGUACGCCGGUACUUCCACUACUCCGGAUAUUACAAAAUUAACGUAGUCGUUACCGCCGAGAUUGGAUGCGUGCCAAGAAAGUCCGUAGUACGUUCCACUGUUGACCAGCCUAAAUGUGUAAGUGAGAAAAUUAAACUUGGUACAAAAUUAUCAAACAUAAUAAAAUAAAAAACAUAUAACCGAGAUAAAACAACUAUAGUAUAUACCAAUUGAAAAAUAAGAGGAUACUCUUUCGCCUCAAGUUCGGAUAACGAAACAGGUCAAAGAGCGAAGGUUUUCUCGUAUCUGGUGUACUAUCCUCACUGUUAUUAUUAAGAAGUGUUUCUAGAGCUUCAUUCGGCAUCUCCACGCCAUUCUCCAAAGAAGCGCGUUGCAGCAAAUCUUUCGCUUCCUGGAGGCGGCCUUUUGUUAGGAGCCAUCGCGCGGAUUCAGGAAUAAACCUAAAUUGGAUCACCGUGUGAGUUGUAAUAUCUGAUUGGAAUUAUAUUCAUUAUGUAGAAUAUAUAUAUAUAUAUAUAUAUAUUAUUUGUCUCGUACCACCAAUAAACUAGAAACGCGAUGCUCGGUACCGUAAGAGCUACCUGCAGCAUUCUCCAAUUGGUAAUAUUAUACGCAAAAGCGGCCGUGAGUAUGUAUCCGACAGUGAAAAAUAAUUGAACGCCGACUCCGGCUACUAAUCGCUUUUUCGGUCCAACCAUCUCCAAAGCUGGAAGAGAAAGAGUGACAAUAUAAUUGAAUGUAAUUACCUAUGACAUAAGCUACUAGGAACACCCCACUGGUGGUUGAACCGACAAUUAGCCUGAAGAUUACGUAGGAAUAAAAUUCGGGUGCUACAGCGACUAGUAUACCGCCGACCAGCUGUAUGACUAAAGACAGGAAGAAAAUUGGUCUACGGCCAUAUUUAUCGGAUAAACCGCCGAAUAUCAUCGAGCCAAGCAUGACUCCUACCAUGAACAACGCAUCCCCCGUUGCUCUCAGCCACGCCCUGUCGCAGACCAAACCCCACUGCACAAAAAAAAACGGAUAUUUUUAUGAGACAUAUCUUAUUUACAACAAUUGCCGAUAGAAAAAUCGAUAAGAGAACCCUAUUUUGCGAUGAGAGAACGGAACAAUCUUAUACCUCAGAAGUGGUUGUACUUUUGUACACGCUUCUAUCGUACACAUACUGCUUGCAACGGCUGGUCCCUCCUCCUCUGGCGUCGUCACCAAUUACUUUUUCAACGAUCGUCCCGUUCGCGGCGCCGAUCACGUCGCGUUUCAGACACUGAGACCACCCUUCAAGUUCGUUGUCCCACGGAUAGCUCGCGUUCAAUAUAUCCUGGCUCAGAUGGAACGUGGCGUUCUCCGCAUACUCGUUUGGAAGUAAACAUCUGAAACAAGAUAACGAUUCGAUUUACCGUAAGUACAUAUGUUAACAUCGUAAUCUAUCUUUGAUAAUUAUUACGUUUCUCAAAUUGCAUACCUGGUAUUCAUUUUGGCACCGAGGAAUACACCGGCUAAUUUGUGAAAGGCACACGAUAUCACCGGAAGACAAAGCAGAAGGUAGACUCUGCGUUGAUAGCGGCCAAAUUCGCCCAUAUGAAGGACAACGUCGUCGUAUGCCAUUUUUCCGAGAGAUUUUGUAAACAUGAUUUCAUCUCCGGAGGAACACGUACAAGACUUCAUUAGGACAUUCCCAUACGCCUUUUGAAGAAUGCUUCUGAUUUCUCAGCAUUCAAUCCAGAGAUGAUCGCUUAUCAGCCUUCCAAAUGCAUCGAUUUCUCGGCAGAGAACAGCGAUAACUGAAAAAAAAUUACGCGAAGGAAUGCAGUUGGAGUCGCCUGGAUGGAUAAGAGGUGAUUAUUCGCACGCGACAGAAGUGAUUGUUAGACGCAUAUGUUGCCGGUCCAGCCGUCACCGUUGGAGGCCGGCAUCGCGGCCCGAGAAGGAACCCCGAAGGCUAUUUAUAGUAGGGAGCGGCUUCUAGUUCCCACCGCGUGAAAAAUCGCAACUGGUUUCUUGCUCGCUUCUUGUUUGAGAAGCAGGAUAGAUGGAGGAGAGGAAAAGGCGAAAGAGAGACGGAAAGAAUGGCUGGCGGGCAUCUCAAGUAUAAGUCGCCGGCGCUCAACAUUAGCGGUUCCCUUUUGCGAAUAAUUCGAGGGAACGUCACCGCGAGAGUUUAUUAAGACGCCAAGUCCACAGUGGACACAGCCGAUGAAGGGGAUGAAGGGGAUGAAGGGAGUUACUCGGGGAAAGUGGCAGAAGGAAGAUGAAAAAGACAGGCAUUGUCUGAACAUGCCGAAUGGCAAGGCGAGAUGAAAAAGUCCAAAUUGUUCCUCUUUUUUCCGCAAGCACGAUGGAUAGAAUUAAACGAAUCAUCGUCACAAGUGCGCUUGAGAAAUAUGCCUAGUCUGGAAGAUGAGAGAUCGAUAAAGUGCACGUCCAUAGGAAAAUGGAUUAAGAAUGCGCGAGCUACAGACGCUUAUAAUGUUAAAAAGACCACUGUCUGUGUAUAUACAUAUACAAGGACAUAUGCAUGUUGUUUUACCUCGGUCUCGCUUCGUCUGUAAUAAUCUCGCCACGAAGACAUAAGGAAAGUAAUUAAUCGGUCGUUGAACAUGUCAGUCAAGACAAAGCGAAGAGAUUCUUUGAACCGAUUCGAAUCCAAGGAAUCCAAUGAGGAAACAACCCGGCGGAGUAUCAUUCAAGUUCAACGAGCGACGAGGGACCACGAGACGCCCGUCGUGAAUCACGUGAGCGGCGCGAUUCGAAUCGUUAAAUACGUGGUCGACUGAACACAAUCGGCGGGACGCUACGACAGAGGCCGCAUUGUAAUUCGAUUGAGAAAAAUGAGGAUGACUAAUGUAAUUACCCGUUCUAAGUGCCGCACGUUCCCACGGUCGAUCACGGAUGAAUCUGUAAACCGUGUGAUUUUAUCAACGGCCCGCCGUACGUUCCAGCUUCCCGUAUACGAGGCACACAACGAGGACCCGGUGCACGCGUUAUGCCGGCCGGCCGCUGAUGGUCGCUCCCGCCGUAGCACUGCCGAUCGAUAAGUUUCGUCGAAGGAAAGGCGUCGCUAUACUAGACGGAAUGAUAUUCACACUCUGCACAUCCGUUCGAUCGAGUCGCGCGUUCACCUUUCUCUCUUGUCAUUAGAAUUGAAUGAGAAUUUGGAGGGGAACGCGUGGGAUUACCGACGCGUAUCGAGCGGACACGUGUACUUCGGUCGCGAGGUUCGCGCUAGCUAGCACCAGCUAGCAGGAUGUCGAGGCACGCGACACCGGGGACACGACGUCGUCAGGGAGCUGGAGGAGGGAGGUUCUCUCGGCGCCGGCGCCAGAGUCGCGUUCGAAAACCGAAGCAGCCUCGCGCAUUCGCCACCGGGUGGCAGGUUCGCGUUAUCGAUAACGCCUCUCUCUCUUCUCUCCUUUCAAAUAUGAUGAUGAUAUAAUUGUCAUUUCCUUCGGCUCCCUUUAUCUCUCGAUUCCUUUCAAUUAAGGUCUUUCGGCGAAUCCUUCGAUGAAUCCAUCCGAGGCUCAACCUUCAAUCUGUUUAUACGUCUAUAUAAUUUACGUUCGCGUUCUUUCAUAUCGUAAAUGCCUUUUCUGUUACACAUUUGAUUGAGUCCACAUAUGCUUCGCACAUAGAACGAUAAACGUUGCUCGAGUUAUUCGCGAUUGGAUUAUGCGAGAUUAAAGAAUUGUAAUUGUAAUUGUGAAUUGCGGCACUUACUACAUGACGCUAUCACCGUUAUAACGCGUGUAUCACGAUUUAUCAUUGCAUCAUACACGUGCCGCUUAUGAGAGAAAUUUGUAUACAAUUUAUAAAUAUAUGCAUGUAUAUAGAGUAAAAAAAGAAUGUAAAACGUUUUUUAAUUUCUAUUUUUUAUAUCGACAACAGUGACUUUAUGCAAUUCGUUGCGUAUAUAUUCCUGUUGCGAUUCGCGAUGAUCAAUUCAAUCUCGUCAAAUUGUUCGAACCGUUUGAUCUAAUUCAUAUCAAUCAAUAGAUUUAUAUAUAGAAUUAUAUCAGCCACGUGUCCAUUCAAAGUACUUAUCAUCAACUUCUAUAUACACGUGUAUAUAUAUAUAUACGUCUGCGAUUAUCACGCGUCAACUGUAUGCAUACAUUUUUGAAAGAAAAAAAAAAGAAACAAACAUGGAUAGUGAUUAUGAAAUUUAUAAUUGUAUACAUAUUUUUGACGCGCCAAUUUUAUAUCGAUGGAAUUGCGAAAGAUCAUGCGACACUUAAAUGAACCGAUUUAACUCUACGAAAAGGAAACCAACUGUCUUUCCUCCAACAUUUAUCAUGAAGAUUUGCGAUAAAGAAAAUUAGUUCGUCGAAAGUUUUCACUGUGCAUGCAGAGACAUAUAUGUACAAUAACUCUUCGUCGUCACAAACUUGUUUAAUAUAAUUUACAAGUAGUGCGAGCACACUUUCGCGAAAGUUUACAAUACCUCCGAAAGCGAUCCGCGUCGGUUUGCAAAACGUUCGCGCGGAUUUAACUGCCGGUGGUGAUACGCGGAUUUGCAAUUUCCAGCUCGUGCAUGUGAAUGCAUAUAUGCCUGUGCAUGAUAGGAAUAUCUAUCAAGGACGCAUGACCCCCUUCCUCUACCCCCUUCCUCAACGGGUACUCGUAAUUUGGUAUAAUUCGUAUAUUACUACCCGUCGUCUCUAUACUCCUUCAAGUCGUCAGACUGAAAGCUUGAUUCCUCGAGAGAGAUCUAUUGUGUUGAGCCGCUAUUCAUCUUCGAUCGACUGAAAGCAUACUUAAUAUUUUAAUAGUUUAUCCGUUGAUGAACGGGGAAUAAGAGAGGCACUUUUUAUUUUAAUAUUUUUAAGGAUGUACAGAAGAUUCAAACAGAGAUGAAAGUAUAUUAACGCUAUUCAUUUUAGAGAAAAUCGUUAUAGUUUAAGUAAUCGCCUAACUUGACACGAAAUGCUCAGAAAUAGAAAAAAUUUCAACAAAUUAUUAUUUUCUUUUAAAUGGUUCAAUGAAUGCUAAUAUAUGUAUAAUUUUGCGACAUUGUUCUUUAAAGUUCCAAUUUACAUAUAUGUGAAAAAUUUGAUGUACAUGGUAUACCAUUUUUUCGAUAUUUUUAAUGUAAUAAUAAUGGAUUAUUAUAUGUAAAACUAGCGGAAAUUUAAAUUGCAAUAACUUUUAAAUGAGUUAGUGAAUUAAAUCCAAAUUUCAACAGUAACUUUAGUUUCAAAGUGAAAGCGCUAUAUAAUUUUUAUGAAGUUUCAAAUGUCUUCCAUACAUCAUUAACAAUAAGAAAUUUGAUAAAAGUUGUUAAUGAUCGAAAGAUAGAAAUUAUAAUUUGAGUUGAAAUAUUUUCUCUAAAAAAACCGCGUUUACAAGCUUUUAAUUUUACAAUUUGAAAUAAUCGAAUGGAAACGUUUCAACACCAGAAUCAUAUCGUAGCUCAAAUUUCCCUCGCAAUUAUCGCCUGUAUUUCGAUCUGCGUAUCAUUCUACAUUUUUACAUUUUUCUCGACAAAUCAACAUAUCUCCUCGAAUAAUAAAAAUAUAAAGAUACGCGUGUAUAGUCACUUCCGGUGAUUUUUAAUCAUUCGGGGUUGCGGGUGAAAAAAAAAUCUUUCGCGCAAGGAAGCAAUAUAACGAUCUUCGUCGAGGAUCAUAGAAUCGCAGUCUCUGAGGCGGGAUAUCGAUUCUCGCCGAAGAGUUCCGAGGCGUGCCGAGCUCGGGAAAGUGACGUACACGAGUGAGAGAGAGUGCACCGAGCGGUGGUGAAGCUGGGUGAAGCUGAUUGUGUGGUCAGUGGUGAUUCACUUGUGUGCGGAUUGACUCUGGGGGAGAGACUCCGAUAGAUCUUGUAAUUGUAAAGCCGUCUCGAAGCGAAGAUCGAUCACCGUGACCUAACCUAGUCUAAUCUUGAAGGCGUAAACUCAUCGUAACUCGGCCACCGAACGCGAGAUUCUAGUUGUAAGGAAUAUCGUCUCGAAUAUCGCACAAGCGAACGCCACUCUU